AGGAAGUUUUUUCCUCUUUUUCAUUUAGAUGAUGACUGUGAGUGCAUUUGGCUCGAGAUACGGACUAAUGUUCGUGUCGGUGUGGAAAAACUCAAGCUACCUUUACUUCUUUGUCUGAUU
rnacentral:snoRNA from 1 species